UUAAAUCAAAUGGCUUCCUCAUACACUCCAAUAUAUUCUAUUCUUUUUAUUUACUUAUCAAUUUCUAUAAAUUUCUUCAUGAUAGGUUUUAUCUCAUGCCUGGAGCAGAAUAAAGUGGCCUGAACCCUUUUUUUAAAUAAAAUACCAGCCCCGCCUCUGAGCUUUGAGUUCUGAUGCUGAACGAGCUGUGAGUUCUGGCACUGCCGUCUGCAUCCGCUCAGGCUUCUUCCCACUUGGCCUUGCAAAAUUGUUCUUUCUCGAAGUUCAAGAUUUUUAAUCCCUCUGGGCAAGCCCUCACUAAUUAAAGCCCAAACAACCUUAAAAGCAAAUGAGCAUUUGGGGCCACUGGGCACCAUUCCACGGCUCUGGAGCCAUUGUUUGGCUUCUUAAUACUCAAAAGGACUUCUUUGUUUAAUUCUGAGCUUAAAAGUGCCUUUUUCUCUGAGUCUUUCCCCUCCCCUCUGCCUCUGGUUUAACUCAGCACAAUCAGUCUAACAAAAUUCCACCUGAAAGAAGCUCUGCUUUUGAGGUUACGUGAUUUGAUUCUCUGUAAAUAGUCACACGUAGGCUGAUGGAGAGAGCGAUGGAGAAGGGAGGAGACUGUUUCUGCGCUGGCCAAGUUGACGAUGGGUCAUCAGUGAAAUAUAAGCUCGUGCCACUCGCUCGGUGGAUUACUAGCCAAAAGAGAGACGAGAAAGAACGCAUCCUGGGACCGCCUGACCGCUUCGGGGUUAAACACAUCGCGUUCUGAUGUUCUGAUUUUGCCUGUCUCAUUUUCCUCCGUGUGAAGCCUUAACUUUCUUACCUUUGAUGAAUAGCGUUUUCAUUCAAAGAUUUUUCCAUUGUUGUAAGUUAAAUUGUUUCUUAAGAGUAACGGCAGUGCCCCGUGCUUAGCAAAUCAAUAAGAGAGAGAAAAGAGUCCAUCGCAGAUCAUUGCCUCCUUAAGAACAUGAGUAGCGUGUGUUAUACAAAUUAACACAGUUCCAACAAUGUAAUCGUUUUGUCUCUUUGCCCCAUGAUCAGAUAGGAAUCAAAGCCUCGUCCUGAAUGCCCCCAUUUUCUCUUCAGAUCUGGGGAUUAGCGUGGCCUUGGAAGCAUGGAUAGGCCUCUGCAUAACUAAACGAUCUCUCCCCUCCUGUUCAGAAAACCCUCCAGCUCAGUGCUCUCUGGUGCCCAGAAGGCUCCUGGGUGGGGUGCUGGUCCUCUCUCCCCACACUCGGGGAAGCAGCCGCCACCAUGUGGACGCACUCCUGCAUGUGCCAACCCCCUCAGCACAGGCAAGAGGUCCGGACUAAGGCUGUCAUCUGAAUUCACUUAGGAUGACAGCUUGAGCAGUUCGCAUCCCCUAUUCGAAUCUUGAAAAUAAACAGGGUCACCUUGUUUUACUGUUUAAAUUAGAACGGUUCAAGCCCCCACCUCACAGGAGUGGAAAACCAGUCCCCAGCGACCCUCCCUGGUCCUCCGAUGUCCCUGGAGAGUCCCAGGGGCCGUCCAGUCCCUCGGUCGCUUUUGCUCUUGGGCCUCUGUCCCCGAAGCCUCGUCCCCGGGCAGCUCCUCUCCUGCAGCUGGCUCUUCUUCCAGGCAACGGAGGGUAAGAAUCUGGGGGCUUACUCAGUGAACCUGAGGUCACUUGUAGCUGGGCAACUUUGGGCAAUCCACUUACCCACACUGCCUCAGUUUCCCCAUCUGUAAAAAAGACACAUAGAAGACCUCCUCAGAGGCUGUUGUUGGCAUUCCACGAGCAGAAGGAUCCCAUGGAGGACAAGCUCUGUAAGUUCUGACUCUCCCUGCUCCUCGCCCAGCCAGGGACACAGCCCUUUUCCUCGGCUUCGCUGAAGCAGCCUUUGCAAGCACAAGUGUGUGACUCAGUUCUCAGCGGUCUUCGAGGCCAGCGUUUACAGUCCAAUCUUCCAGUCACUGCAAUUCCCUGCCAGGCCCGCUGAGAGCAAGCUCGCUGGCCAGCUCCUCCAUCCUCCGUCUCUGGCCGGGGGCUUGAGCCGCUCAUCUCUGGCCCCCUCACUUCCUCCUCCUCUUCCUUCUUCUUGGCCCCUCAUUUCCUCGGCUCAGGCUCCGCUGGACCCUCCGAACACUCCCACUAUUUUGAAGAAUGGUCCAGCAUGGCUCUUUGCCCAGAAGCAUCUUUCAAGUCAUCCCUUGGAAGCUUCAGCAUUUAGAACCUAAGACUUUCUGGGCAUUUUCCUAAAUAAAGACCCCUUUUCAGAAAGGUAGUGUGCCACUCCCCUCGGGGCAGAAGCUGUGAUUUUUAAAGGCCACUUUUUCUCUCUAUGAUACUAAUACUAAAAAUAAUCAUGGAUGACGGUGGGCAAGGGUACCGACUUCCAGUUAUAAGAUAAACAGGUCCUGGGGACGUCAUGGGUGGGUGACUGCGGCUCGGUCCUGUUCUGUGUGCCUGAAAGUUGCAGAGAGCAGACCUUGAAUCUUCUCAUCACAGGAAGAAAAAUGUGUCACCACGUGAGGUGAUGCAUGUUAACCAGACCUAUAGUGGGGAUCACUGUAUAAUACAUAUAUCAAAUCAUCAUUUUGUACAGAUAAAACUAAUACAAUGUUACUUGUCAAUUAUGUCUCAAUAAAACUUGGGGAAAAGGAAAAAAACAAAUCCCUACAAUGUGCUUUGCAAACAUCACAACUGCUUCACGUCUAUCAUCUUCCUGGUCCAGUGAGGUGUGACUGGAACUUUCUGGGUCUCAGUCUCCUCUUCUGAAAAAUGGGGAAAUUACACAGCCCCGUGGGGUCACUGUGAGAAUUAAGUGAUGAAAUACAGGCAGGGCCAGUAAGACAGUGCCUGGCACUUGGUGAGUGCUAAAUUACUGCUGGCCUGGUCCUUCUCAGCUCCAUUCGACAGAGAAUGAGGUGGAAGCUGGUGCCGUGGGGCCCCUGCUCACUGUUACCGAGGGAGAGGGCGAUGGCCGAGGUUUUGUCCCUGCCACCCGCUUCCAAGCUCGUCUUCUGCUUCCCUUGAAUCAAGGGCCAGACGCAACCAUAGGGACUAAACCCACCUGUGUAGUUUCUGAGUUGAGGGAUCUGAGUGUAGGAUCCGACUAGUUAAAAAAGUUAAGUUAGCUGGGAACACUUGAGCAUUAGGGAGUUUUAUAUAUAACUCUAGAUAGAGGACUUGUCUUUGCAAAAUUGAGGCAGUUUGCCCACAUUUGGGGUGGAAGGGCUAAGUCGUUUUCUGGAACGUGGGCUCCCAGUCUCCACGGACCCCCAACACUCUGCUUUGUUAUCUUAGGGGCUCAGACCCUGCCGACAUCUCAUCUGUGCCCCAUGGCCUCACCUGGCUGACCUCAGUAAAAAUACUGCGUUUUGGGGAGUUAAACGGAGUAAUUAACAAGUCAUCGCUCCACGUGAUUCAGUGGAAGCCCCGGGAGACCCUAUUGAGCCGAGUGUGUGGGGCCACAGUAACAAAAUUCACAAAAUUCCUCCCACAGCAGAGUCCUUAGCAGCCGCUCAGAACUGCCUCUCAGCCUCCCUGGCCGCUGUCACGGGAACUGAAUGGAAGGAGCCUCCAAAGCUGCUCUGCGGACGUUCUGAAACUUCUCUUAAUGCAUCCACGACACAGACUUGGACACAGCUAAGGGGGCUGUGGUCACACCCGUGACGGGUCUGCCUGAGACAUUUUCCAGAGUGCAUCUCUUUGACUCAUUGCAGCAGGGGGCUCACCAGCCUCCACGCCACCAAUUCCCGUGGCUUCAAUUCAUCCUGGAUUCAAAUGACAGAAUAAUCCUCCCCAACAUCGAUCUUAUGACAACACUCCCCUGCUCAAGACUUGACCCAGCCUCCCUAUUGCUGCUGCCAGUCUACGCUUUUCAGUCUUGCAUUCAAGGCCCUCGUCCAUUACACUGUCCCUGGGGGGACAUCUCUAGCCGUGUCUCAAAUUCCCCCUUGACACGGCCCCUCUGCUCCAGGUAAACCAGUCGGUGAGCCGUCUGUAUUUCUGGGCUUCCAUUCAUGUUGCACCUGCCAGAAGCCAUCCUUCAAUCUAAUCACACUAUUUUUUUCUGUGCUUCCCUCAUCCUAUACAUAUUUAAUAAGGAUUCUGUUCCUGAAAUUAGCUCAAUUUUCAUCAUUUAUCCCCAAAGAAUAUCCAAGCUUUAUGUAAUUUUCAUGCUUUAUUUGUAAACAGAGAAAUUCCACACUACUAUGCACCACUGCCCACUCUUGUGCUCAUAACAGACAUCGCUAGUCAAUCACUGCACCUUUUCCCACUGAGCUGCUCACAGCUUCUGUAUCUUUCUCCACAUUACGUUCCAGGUAACCACUACAUGCCAGUUGGCGUAGGAUACGGCUUGCAACCUCAUUGUCAUCUCUGUUCUAGAUUAGAGUCAUUAUAGUUCUAGAUGGUGAAAGGGAAACUCUUCAGGAGGGCGGGGCAAAUGAGAGGGCCUUACUAUUUUGCCCCUGCAUUUUCUGCUGAAGUUCAGGGCUCUAUGUGUGGGAUGAGUAGGUCACAGCCAAUAGAAUCAUAUUGUCCUCAAGAUCGGUGCCUGCUUCCUAACAAUUCACCUCAAAGCCUUCGCAGACUCCCCUCCCAGCCACCCAUGGCGGCAGCAAGCGCAGGCCCUCGUUUGUCUUCUCAGCUUAAAGUUCACUUGGAAAGAGCGAUGUUCUCUUCCCAGAAGUCAGAGACUAUUUCACUGCCUCUCAUCCGCUCUGACUGAGUCGCGUGGUCAUCCCCAAUCCAAUCCCUUGGUAUGUGGGGGGCAUGAGAUGACAUUCUCAUGUCUCAUGAGCUGGCAUGAUCAGACAAGAAAGUUGAGGGUGCCAGGUACUAAUUAUCUAAAAAGUUUUGUACUCCUGUCUGCCACGUAGGAGACAUCAGUCCAGGUUCUGGGGACACAGCAGUGAGCAAAACCAAGAGUCAUCACCCUGGAGCUCAUCUUCUAGUUGAGAGAUACAGAAAAUAUACAAAUAAAUAUGUCUGCAAUGAGUGGGAUGGAGAGGAUUGCUAUGUAAAGAUGUAAUGUGGGAUGAGCAAUACAGAAGGGCUGAGGCAGGGAAGGGAGACGUGUGACCAUCACAUGGUUGGAGAAGGCACCUCUGUGACCUUAAGGAGCUGAGGGAGCAAACCAGACAGAGACACCUGGAGAGACACAGAGGGGACAGCAGGAGCAAAUGUCCUGAGGGAGAGCCUACGUGGAGAGUUUGAGAACUAUCGACGAGGCCAAUACACUGGAACAGAGUGAGCAAUGGGGAGAGAGGUAGGUGAUGAGGUCAGAGGUUAAGGGGUGGGAAAUGGGGCAGGAAGCAAAUGGCGGAGGGUCUCAAGGCCAUUGUGAAGACUUUGGCAUUUACUGUGAGUGAGCUGGGAGGGUGUUGAACAGAUGGCCCUAUAACCUAACUUAUGUCUUAAGAAUCACUUUCAUUUCUCUCUUCAACCAGGAUGUGGGUAGAAGGAGCGGGGUGGCAGUAGGGUGACCAGCUAGGCACCUACUGUAAUUUCUAGGCAGAAAAUUGUGGCAGCUUCUACCAGGUGGUAGUGAUAGAAAUGGUAAGAAUGCAAGGUUGGACUUGGGGAACAUUCUGAAGGGAGAACAGGUGGGAUGUGCUGACAGACUGUGGGGAUGUGGAAAGAGAGAAGGCAAGGAUGACUCCAAAGUUUUUGGCCUGAACAAAGGAAAGGAUGAUGCUGCCAGAGGGAAGACUGAGGGAAGAGUAAGAUUUAGGGUGGAGUGGAUUUGAGUGUCUUAGAUGUGAAGAAAUAUCAAGUCAAUUAUUGAUAUAUGAGUCUUAGGUUCAAGAAGGAGGCAUGGGAUGGAGGGUUAAGCUUGGGAGUUUUUGGCAUCAGGAUGGUAUUUAAAUCCAUGAGAAGAAAUAUAGAAAUCAAAGAGUUUUUGUGGAUAGAUGAGUAAAGACAUCCCAGGUCUGAGCCCUCAGCCCCCACAGCAGGAACCGGGUCACAAAUCCUCAUUAGCGUCAUCCCCGAGUGCUAACAGCUCCCCUUCCCAGGACUGCGCGGUUAGAAUCAUUUUUACCAUUGGUUUGACUUUUUGCUGAACUCUAGUUUUCCUAUUUGAAUAAGACCUUUCUAUUUCACUUUAAACCUUGUGACUGUUUUCCAUGCUUAGCCCCCUAAAUAUUGACACUUCAGGAAGGUCAGCCUCAAUCGAACUGCCAAAGCAAAUGCUGAGGUAGCCAAGAAGAGAACUCUAGUUUAUCUUGGAAGGCAGGACCCCAAGCCUUGGCUUUCAAGGCCAGACUGACCUGCAAAGAGCAGAGAAGGCUGCUGGCUCAGGGUGGACGAGGCUGUAGCCAGGUCUCAGCGCUGCCUGGGCCGUUGGAUGGGGCGUGAGGUCAGUCGGGUCAGGGGUCCCAUACUGGGGCCUCCAGGAAUCUGGCCAGCAUCCUGGUGACUGGUGCCCAAGAGAACAAAGAGGCUCCUGCAUCGCCAGUGGUCUGAUUAAGCCGGCGCCCUGGUCAGGCCCCUUUCGGGGUGGUGGUGGGGGGGUGGAUAAAAGAGCAGCACACCUGUUUUCACUUGACUCCAAUCCCGAAAUAAUUCUGUGGCUCCUACAAGAUUUGAAACAAAUUAAAUUUGAAAGGGCAGAGAGGGCAGCUUUGAAUGGUUGGCUCUGUGGAGAAAUGUGGGUUUUCGCUCCAGGAAAUGGCUUCACUGAGAGACAGCAUGCCCUGGCCGUGGCGGCUGGGGUGGCUACAGUGCGUGACCGUGACGUGGGACUCGUGGGGCAGCUGCUUUUGCCCUGUUGUCUCUGGACUGAGCUUUUGCUUUCUGGACUUUGAUAAUGUCAGAGGAAGGUUAUUCUAGAAUUGACAUGAAAGACGCGUGUCUAGAGGAGAGGGCACACAACACUGUUUAGGGAACCUGUGUUUUAAGCAAAGACACAUACAUCCUACAAGGCAGCGGUGACAGACGUGAUUGCGUCCAGGCCUUGGGAGAUGAUUGUCAGAAUAGUUUGGCCCAUCCUUUCUUUUAACAAACGAAGAGACUGGUGCCUGAAGGAGUUGCUGCUAUAGUGAGAGCUGGGUUCCAGGUGGAGCGCCACCUACACUUAUGUUUCAAGUGGUCCCCAGGGCAAAUAAUGGGAAGGGUUGUCCAGAGAGUCCCAGACUUCCGCCUGCCUCCAUAAGAACCUGUGCCUAUUCAGGAUCUUGGGAUUGGGGAGGCAGGAGUGGAAAGGGGGGAAUUCCUCCCUCUGGACCAAGGCCCAGGAGCUGCAGUGAUGGAAAGAGAAGAGUUCCCCUCAGGCUCUGGGUGGUCCCUCCCUCUUCCACGGCUCCUCCUUCACCCACCAACACUUCUUGAGCUUCCCCCAGGUGCCAAGAGUGGGCUGCCAAGAUGGAAACUGGCAAGUGGACCUGUCUCAUACUUAGAGACCUAUUACUCCAAUCUUUGUUAUAGACACAGCCAGAGGUGACCAAUGUGACAACCUGCCUCGUUGAUCUGUUGCCAACUAGGGGUUUGACAGAGAAAUUGAGAGCUAGCAGGUCACUGCCUUUUAUGGUCUCUGCCAUUAACACCCGUUUGGCAGCAGGCAGAAUUUUUCUGCCUGGGACCUGGGGCAGCUGAUUAAGUACCCCUGCUAGGCCGGGGUCUGGUCCUGGCUGAUUUUAAGGCCUCCCUUCAUCCCCACCACAGAGACAGCAGCUGGAAGGCCUGACUGCAAGGCCACUUUGUCCUUUGCUUAGGUAUCCUCACAGACCGCAGCGCUGGGGUCAGGCUGGAGCACAGAGCGCUCUCUAAUGAGGAUUUGUCAAGCCCUUCCAUUUGAUCAGGGGCGGACGCUGUCGCUGUGUCAAUUUUCCUUCUCACUGAUGUCCCUGUGGCCUUUGAUAGCACAGAUCAUACACACAUAGGUGUGUCUUUCAAGCUCCUGAGCCGCAUGGGCAGGGGUCUGCCAAGCCAUCAUUAAUAUGCCCCUCCGUGCAGCUGGUGGGGAAAGGGACAGAAAUAAAGGAGCUGAGGUUCCCUUUUUUAUGAGCUCAGGAAACCCGCUGUACCCAUGUGCAAAGUGGAGGCUGUGCUCCAGAGAAGAAGAGAUCCAAGGACACAUCGCAGCCACUUGCAUCAGCGGCAUUUCAAACUUAGAACUACUUACCGUCUUCUCGAACAUCAAGGAUCCUCCUUAAGCAUCACCCAGUCCUCUACCCUCUCUUGUACCCUUUCAUCUUACCAUAUUGGUAAAAGUUUUUUGGUUGUGAACAAUACAGGCCAAUUCUGGAAAACUUAAGUGAAGAGAGAGUUUUUUAUAGGCUGGAGACUAGUUUUAGAAAUAGGACAAACCAAUGUGGUCCAGAUAUGAGCAGAACUAAUUAUUUAGCCAAUAAUGCUAAGCAAUACUUCUGGGAUAAUUGUCCUCUACCCAUUUUCCCAUCCUGCAAUUUUUACACAAGGAGAGAGAGGCUGUUGGGACCAGCUUGGGUGAUGUGCUUACUCCUUGGGUGGCAAAGGCCGGUACGUGCAAUGGGAGAGGAGAUUCUUCAGAGGAUGUCGGUGGUGCCAUUCUCUAGAGGGACUGGCUGCCAGACAGCCAAAUAAGUCCACACUUAGGCUGUAGUCUGCAAGCCCUAUUCAUUCUAUUUCCUUCUUACAUCUCUACCUUUCUGUCCAGCCCCAUUGCCUCUGUUGUAAUGAUGUCUACCUCAAUAAGGUUGCUAUCAGGAGUAAAAGCAAUAGCAUGAUGUCCAGCAUUUAGCUGAAGGAUGUUAUCAAUUGCAUUUGACUUUGAAUAGACUUGCUCAAGGAUCUCUACCCCGUCUCCUUCCCUUCACUCUUCCCCCACAUCACCGCCAGAGUGAACUUUCCAAAUGCAAAUCCAGUCACGCCAUGCUCUGCUCAAAAACCCCUGGUGCCUCCCGUUGCCUACAGAACAGUCUCAAAUUAUUCUCCCGAUAUAAGACUGCAUGUUCCUCUUUCGUUUAGGAUUACCUUGGGUAAAUGUUUAAUAACCAGUGCUCUGGGGAAGUGGGGCAGGAAAUUUAUGCAUACAUGUACAUACAUUAGUCUAUUAUAAGUUAUGCUGAUAUAACAGGUGUGUAGCACAAAUAAUAAUAAUACGAGACUCCUCAAAGGUGUGAAUGCCAGCAGGUGAGGACCAUGUGGGGCCAUUCUGGAGUCUGGUAACUACAACCUUCAGUGAAUCAAGACUCCCUUCACUGUUCCUAUCUUUGGACCACCGUAGGAGAAGGUGAGAUCUUUCAAGUUGCUUCACAUCUGGCCUUUGUAAGUUAAAGUUCCCGGAAUUAGUGACUUUUAGAAACCUUGGUUCUAUAACAUAGAAAUAUUAGCUGUUAGAAACUCAGAUAGGGAAGAGCCGUUUUUGGAAGAGGCAGCCCAGACUUUGUCCUUGGUCUCUAAAAACACACAUUCUAUUAUACUCUCUUUGCUGCCUGUCGGAUUUUCAUAGGGAGAGUGUUCUUCCUGAGCUGGAGGGAAAUUAAGCUUUGCUGGGUGAUCCCACAGCUCUCCUAAUCCAGUGUCUACACUGCUUAAGGCCAGUGCCUGUCCACAAGGCAAAGCACAGCUCAGGGGGCCCAGCUUUCUCUUGGAAAAGUUGGCAGAACGGACAUCAUUUUCUUCUCGUGCCCUCUGGGUACUCCCACCUGUCAGGAACUGGUGCCAACUUUGCUCCCAGUAUGGCAGCACCUGGACACUCUGUACCACCUCAUGAAGUUGGAAAGGGCUCCGGUUGGAAUGCUUUCUCAUUUCUCUGGGCUUCUCCCGUUACUCAUUGGGCUGGUUUUCUUCUUCUUGCUCUUUCACAGCCAGGGGCCGUGUAUGAGUCAGAUGAAUUGACAACAUGCAGGAACAGGGCAGCACUGGAGGCUCUGGAAAGCUGCCCCACCCCACCGGCCCCUCAAGCCGUGCUCGUCCCCCUCCCCUCCCAUGGUGCCCAUCACGAAUCUCAGAAAGAAAGUUCAAGGCUGUCAACAUUUACAGAAAAAUGUCACGUUGGGCCAUGGGCUCUGGGCUGCAGUUUUAUGUUAUUAUUUCAUUUUCACUCCUGACAACUUGACCUGAGAGUUUCCUACAACUUUUUGUGAGCAUCAGUCUUUCUCAGGUGUCAUCAUCACUUCAUUUUAAUAUGCAUUUACUAAGCACCGGCUGAGCACCUGCAUGGGGAGAGGCACUGGAGACACGGAGACAUGGUGCUCUGGUGGAGAGGCACCCGAGUCUGCGUGCUGAGCCUGUGACAAGGGCCUGUGUCAGCAGAGGGCCCAGAGGAUCGUUCCCGGAGGAGAGAAUCAAUGGGUGGAGUCUUCAAAGAGAAGAGUAUUUCACCAAAAUGGGAAAGUGGUUGACAGGCUCCCCACCACCUCCGGCAGAGCCACAAGCGUGCAGAUAUGAACCCAAGGGGCCAGCUGGGGGCACAGGAAUUGGCUCAUAUCGAUGCUGAGAAGUCCCGUGAUGUGCGGUCUGAAAGCUGGAAGACCAGGAAAGGUGGUGACGUAAUUCAGUCUGAGUCCAAAGACCUGAGAACCGGGAGCACCAGUGUCCCGGGGCAGAAGACGGGUGUCCCAGCCCAAGCAGAGAGAGUGAACUCGCCCUUCCUCUGCCUUUUUGUUCCAUUCUGGCCCUCGAGGAAUUGGAUGACACCCAGAAAUAAUGUUUUUCCAGCUCUCUGGGCACCCCUUAGCCCAGUCAAGUUGACGCAUAAAAUUAACCGUCCCAGAGACUAUUGUGUCAGUCCAGGCAAGGCUCAUGGGGGCCUUGGCAGUGGAAAUCGGUCUCUGUUCAGAAUCUUACCUGCCUGCCCAUCUGCAGCUGGGAUCCGCUUCGUGACCUCGGCCUCGGGCGACUGUCCAGACCUGCUGGAAGACCGCAGGUGAUGCGUACCUCCUGUUGGCUUGCUCUCACUUUGGAUUCACUUCAGUGAAGAUAGUGAUGGCUUAGGCAGCUUCCUUCUGUUGUUCCUCUCACUGUCUCGGUUGAGGAACAAACAAGAAUCGUCUCUCAGUGUCAGCCUUUGCGUGGUUCCCUGUCUUCUCAGCGUGACGUCUGUGAGGUUCAUAGCACAUGUCAGGCUUCGUGCUGCAUAAUAGGGUUGCAAAAUGAACCAGCCCUCACCCUCCAAGCAAGCACCACCUCUUGGGGGUCCAAGGGGUCGGGCUCACGAUGACGUCCUUACCGUGUACCUACAAGGACACCGAUGAAGGAGUAAUGAACGCAGCCUGAUUUGGGUGGGAGUUGGAGGUAAGAGAAGCCAAAGGGAGAUAACAUUAGCUUUUUACUAUGUAAAUGAGUUGGCUUUAGCUGUAUGAACUGAAAGGUGAGAAUGGAAAAGAUGGUAAGGAGACAAAGGCCGCACGGGAGAGCGGAUGGCCUGAGCACGCACAGGGCGGUGAAAGUCCGUCUGCAGGCUCCAUGGCCGCUCCCUCCAGCCUCUCGUGGCAUGAUGUGAAUGACUGCAGAGCAGCGAGUGCGUCCUCCGGAGGCAGGCUGCUUGGGGUCAUAACCUGACUGUUCCACGUAGGAAGCUGUUCAGACUCAGGAAGGGUACCUAAACCCUCUCUGACUUAGUUUCCUCAUCUGUAAAAAUGAGGAUAGUAAUAUUUCCUACUUCAUGAUGUGGUUGUAAAAACUAAACAAGUUGAUUCAUGAAGAGCAAUUAAAACAGGGCCUGCCUCAGAGUAGGGCUCCAGAAGUGCUCUCCCGGAGGCUGGCAGGCUCUGAAUGUGUACAAGUUAUGAAUGGCUAUGGAGUGUUCACCCUGGUGACCACCACCCCCCACCCCAGAAGGGCUAUGACUUUGGUGCAAUCUGGUGUCCCUUUGGUGCUGGGCGGAGGGGUCAGCUCAGCAUGGAUGACCUGCCUCGACACUCCUGGUUUCCCAAGGGCCUUUUCUAAAGGUGCGUUAGGACAGGCUCAGGAACAAGUGGUCCCUCUGGUGGCAGUUGGAGUUUCUAGCACAGGAGGUGUGGAUUCCAGGAGAAGCCACAGAGAACUGGCACCUCCAGGGCUGGCAUGUCUUUGAAAUUGAAGCCUGGGGGCAUCUGUGCACUCAGGAGGAGGCCAGAGGCCACUGGGCUGAGCAAGGUCAAUGCCAUCCCAAGCAUGGGGACAGCAUGCCCUUCUGGCGCAGAGGCUAGCCUGAAGCCCUGGCUUCCAUCGCAUAGGCAUGGACCUCAGGAGUCAAGCAAGGCCAAACGACUUCCCCUGGGCCAUGGUAGAGUAAGCAGUGACACUGAGCCAGAAGCCCUGGCAAGUGAUCUGAACCAGCCGUUUAAACUCUCUGACUCUGGGUCUCCCUUCCCUCAGCUGUAAAGGAGAAAGAUCAGUUCACCCAGCCCUACAGCCCACACGCCGUCUGUCCCAGAGAGUGACUACGGGAUCACGAUCAACAAGAUCACGGGAAUGAAAGUCCUCGGGUAAACGGGAGACCACACAUUGCGGAUGGUGCUCUUGCCUCCUCAUCCUUACUUGUGAAACCUGAAGACCUUUCUGCCGUGUUAUCACCUGCCAACCUCUACACGCUGUUCUCUUCUUCCUUCCUUGCUCCCUUCUUUACUUCCUUCCCUCCUUUUCUUCAGUCCUUUGAAUCUCAGCUCAGUUAAUGGUUCCUCAGAGAAAAUGUCCCUGCCCCUAAGACUGAGCUGGGUGCCCUUUCUGGGUCCUUCCACGUAAAGGCCCCUGGACUUUCAUUGUCAUAAUACUUUGUACACUAUUGGAACUGUCUUUUUAACUGACUGUCUCAAGGACAAGAUUACAUUAGCUGCUCAAGGGUGGGAUUAUAGCAUAAUCUCCUUAGUAAUCCUGGCACUAGAACGGUCUGGGGGGUGCAUAUUUGAAUAAAUGAGUGAAUGAAUGAAUGAAUGACUAAAUUCUUACACAGAUGUAAAUGGUUUAUCAUAAUAUCGUUCAACUGACAUUUAGAGUGUUGCUCCCUUGCUCCAGAUUCUGUAUCAGGGGCUGGGAAUACAAAGAUGGAAGGCCAGCAUCUUCCUUCCCCUUCCCACUCACAGUAGAGUAGGAAAGGCUGGCGUGUAAGUGGGUAGUUAGCACAGAGUGCAGUCCAUGGACCACUGAGAAGGACAGACCAGAUACUGAGCCUUCGGGAUGCAUUGUGAGGCCUGCCUGAUGCAGAGGAGACUCGUUGGCCCUGCCCCAUGGUACCUGAAACCCACCUACAGACUUCCUCCUGUAGGCUGGCUGUGGGAUUGGGCCCUGCUCACGGGAACAAACCAGGGUGUUGAACCAUCUGUGGUGGGCAGGUGAGGAGGAGGCUGACAUCAUAAGAAUAUUUCUAGCAAAAUCAAACCACGUAUUACUUGGGAAAAAAUAACAUCAUAAAGUGAUUCCAAGUUGCUGAGACAAUGUUAGGUGUGACAGGAUGAAAAUACCUCUUGUCCACCCCUCCCUAAAACCCUUCCCCCCAUAAGAGGGUUUUCUUUCCUGGUCCUCCUCCUAAACAGACUCCAGGAAAAAUGAUGACACUCCUCUAUUUUAGGAAGAAUACCAAGGUUCCAGCAUCCUCCCAUAGACUUGUUUCAGACUGUGAAAAUCUUCUAGAUCAAUCUUGCUUUCUCCGUGACUUCAGUGAGCUUCCUCACCCACUUUUUCUGUAGAGAUGGAAUAAGCAGGGUCUGUAUUGGGAGCCAAGGAACCUUUUAUCUAAGCCAGACUAUAAUUAGCUCUGUGACCUUCAAUGAGUCACUUAAUCUCCCCAGAAGAUUCUUCAUGUUGCAGCGAGAUCUCUGAUUCUGGGUGUGGUUGUAAUCAGACCCAAGUGUGAGGCCUAGAGCCGUCUUUGAGGUCUCAUUUCCAAAUUAUCACCCUUCCCUCCACAGACGUCCCAUACAAAUCUUGCUAAUUUUUCAUUUACAAUAUCUUCUGUCGUCGUCACGUUUUUUCUAUCCCCAACUUCAGUUUGAGAUCUUACCAAGCAUCAGUCCUCGUUCUGAGGCCCUUAGCAGGCCCUCAGCUAAGGCACAGGAAUAAAGAGGCAGAGUCCAAAGGAGCACAUGAAGAGCUGUCCGUGGAGAGGUGUAGGUGCCUAGGGUUGACUUGAGAGCAGAGAACGUCUGGUGUUGGCACAACUGGCGAAAAUUGCCCUCUCUCUGAAUCUCAGGAGAGCCCCAAUUCAAAGUCUUAGUUCCGUCCAAGCCCUCAGGUCCAGUAGGGUAAGUAAGAUACUGGAAGAAAGAAAACAGAAACGAGAGAAGAGAAAAGGAAAGACCAAAACAGGAAAAGAAAGUAACAAGUGUUAUGGGGUCAGAGUUUCACAAUCCUUGACUCCACAGACCCCACAGCCCCCUGGGAGAGGUGGAUUAGCAUCUUCUUUACGCACCUGGCCCACAGCCGUCGAGCUCUUGAGUGACAGGCAGGAUCUGAAUUCAGGUCUUCAGAUUCAGGGUUCUUUGUGACAGGAGGCGAGCAGUGCGAAGCAUACCAGAAAAUCUUCUCAACGUUCUGGUGCCACGGGAUUUUCUUCCAAUCUGCUCUCAGGAGGGCGUCAAACCCUUGUUGGCUCAAGCUUUCUUUUUUUCCUUUUUUAAAAAGAUGGGUCUGCAAUCCUGGCACGGUUGAAAGGUUGCAUGUUUCUGAGUCAUAUUCAGUCAGGUGUUCAUCUUACUUGCUUUUGUUUUUCGUCAGACCUCUUGCUUCUGCUGUACCAGAUUUAACAGUAUACUAAUUUGUGCUUCACUGUCUUAAGCCAGACAGGUACAUCUGAUGAAUUCUACCUGCAUUUUCAGAUUGGAGCUAAAUCAGGCUUUGAAAUAUGGUCACAUACUUAAGAGCACCUGCACUGAGUCAUCUUCCCGUUUUCAAAUGCUAACCUAUAGCCUCGGCUCUUAUCUAUAUUUAAAACUGACGUUGUUAAAUGCAUAAGCACAUCUGAAUUAUUUAUAUUUAGGUUUAUACAAUCUCCAGCUGCAACCAUAUAUUUCAAUAUCUUUAAAUUCCGCCUUGCCAUCUGGACCAGAUUGCUGCUAAAUCAAAUCAGAUAAACGUUACCUUUCCGUUACCUCUGAUUUAUAUCAACCAUUCAUUUCCAAAAGCACAGCCCUGUUAAAUCCAAUCUACUCUCAAAAAGCUUAUGAAAUCAGCUCAGUUUUGAGGAUUUGAUAUUCGUUCUCUAAAGCUUCAGCUUUGAAAAGGCCAUUUUGGUAGAUAGAAAAGCAGAGCUGGGAGCACUGUGUUUCAUUGAUUAUUGGGCAAAUCUUCUGAGCCUGACUUCAUCCAAUUACUCAAGACUUUUCUCUAAUCAAGUUAUUGUGAGCCAGUUUAUAGACCACAGAAAUAGAAUAUGCAGGUUUUAAAGUGUUAGGAUGUUCCCUGUAAUUUAACCUGGCAUCUCUCUGAGAUGGAGGAGGGUUGUAGCCAAAUAUUUAAACGACGGAUAGAGAGAUUGAACUUUUACAAUUGUAUUUUUGUAGUCUACUUUACACUGAUACUUCUUUUCCUGGAGGGAAAAAAAGGUGGUUAGAUAACAAACAAAUUAGUCAAUUGUUUUCCACUUUCCACUUUUCCAAAUUAGAGACUUGCUCUGAGAUCCUUAUUUAUUGGUGAAAACAAUAAUGGCCUGUAAGUUUGUCAAUGAACAGAGUCAAUCUAUUUAUGCCUCAAAUAAAGCAUCAGAGUAUUUUAUAGAGAAAGAAAGAAAGAAAGAACAAGGAAGGAAGGAAGGAAGGAAGGAAGGAAGGAAAGAAGGAAGGAAGGCACAAAAUAUGCUAAAACAUCAAGGUGACGGUUAGGGGCCUGGGCGAUAUGCACACAUUACAUUUAUUUAUGUACAGGCACUUACAGAUAUUACCUGUCUCUUUCUCAACCCAUAUAAUUCCUAGUCUGAACUCAUUUAGCAAGUCUAAUGACUGGAACAUGAAAUAUUUUCCAAAUGGCUCCACUGAAUGGGUCUGCAGUCCAUCCGCAUAUAGUUGGAAUGAUGUCAUAAAUGGUUCCAUUUUAAUCCUUCCUGUAUUUUCUAAAGGGGAAUGGGGAGGGGAAGCUGGGAGAAAGUGGUUUGCAUAUGAUAUUCUAAGCUUGAAUAACUGAAUACAAAUCCUAAAUGUAGGAAUGGAAAAAUGGUUCUUUUUCAGUAUGACUUAGUGCUGAUUUUUCUUGCGCACAAAAAAAGGAAUAUGCCACUCUUUAAUGGUAAAUUGCCAUUUAUUGUAAAUGUGCCAUAUGAAGGAAGCUAUAAGUCAUUAUUAUUGACCUAUUAUGAUUCAUUCUGCUUUAGCCUGAAUUAAAUAAAAAUGUGCACUUUGGGAUAA